UGUAUAAUGGGUCAGCGACUUAUAUUCUGUAGCAAGGUUAACCGAAUAGGGGAGCCGAAGGGAAACCGAGUCUUAACUGGGCGUUAAGUUGCAGGGUAUAGACCCGAAACCCGGUGAUCUAGCCAUGGGCAGGUUGAAGGUUGGGUAACACUAACUGGAGGACCGAACCGACUAAUGUUGAAAAAUUAGCGGAUGACUUGUGGCUGGGGGUGAAAGGCCAAUCAAACCGGGAGAUAGCUGGUUCUCCCCGAAAGCUAUUUAGGUAGCGCCUCGUGAAUUCAUCUCCGGGGGUAGAGCACUGUUUCGGCAAGGGGGUCAUCCCGACUUACCAACCCGAUGCAAACUGCGAAUACCGGAGAAUGUUAUCACGGGAGACACACGGCGGGUGCUAACGUCCGUCGUGAAGAGGGAAACAACCCAGACCGCCAGCUAAGGUCCCAAAGUCAUGGUUAAGUGGGAAACGAUGUGGGAAGGCCCAGACAGCCAGGAUGUUGGCUUAGAAGCAGCCAUCAUUUAAAGAAAGCGUAAUAGCUCACUGGUCGAGUCGGCCUGCGCGGAAGAUGUAACGGGGCUAAACCAUGCACCGAAGCUGCGGCAGCGACACUAUGUGUUGUUGGGUAGGGGAGCGUUCUGUAAGCCUGUGAAGGUGUACUGUGAGGUAUGCUGGAGGUAUCAGAAGUGCGAAUGCUGACAUAAGUAACGAUAAAGCGGGUGAAAAGCCCGCUCGCCGGAAGACCAAGGGUUCCUGUCCAACGUUAAUCGGGGCAGGGUGAGUCGACCCCUAAGGCGAGGCCGAAAGGCGUAGUCGAUGGGAAACAGGUUAAUAUUCCUGUACUUGGUGUUACUGCGAAGGGGGGACGGAGAAGGCUAUGUUGGCCGGGCGACGGUUGUCCCGGUUUAAGCGUGUAGGCUGGUUUUCCAGGCAAAUCCGGAAAAU
rnacentral:rRNA from 1 species